CGCGCAGGCGGCUUGGUAAGUCAGAUGUGAAAGCCCACGGCUUAACCGUGGAAGUGCAUUUGAAACUGUCAAGCUUGAGUAUCAGAGGGGAAAGUGGAAUUCCUGGUGUAGAGGUGAAAUUCGUAGAUAUCAGGAGGAAUACCAGUGGCGAAGGCGACUUUCUGGCUGAAUACUGACGCUGAGGCGCGAAAGCGUGGGAGCAAACA
rnacentral:rRNA from 1 species